AACGAACGCUGGCGGCAUGCCUAACACAUGCAAGUCGAACGAAGCCUUCGGGCUUAGUGGCGCACGGGUGCGUAACGCGUGGGAAUCUGCCCUUGGGUUCGGAAUAACAGUUAGAAAUGACUGCUAAUACCGGAUGAUGUCUUCGGACCAAAAAUCUAUCGCCCAAGGAUGAGCCCGCGUAGGAUUAGGUAGUUGGUGGGGUAAUGGCCCACCAAGCCGACGAUCCUUAGCUGGUCUGAGAGGAUGAUCAGCCACACUGGGACUGAGACACGGCCCAGACUCCUACGGGAGGCAGCAGUGGGGAAUAUUGGACAAUGGGCGAAAGCCUGAUCCAGCAAUGCCGCGUGAGUGAUGAAGGCCUUAGGGUUGUAAAGCUCUUUUACCAGGGAUGAUAAUGACAGUACCUGGAGAAUAAGCUCCGGCUAACUCCGUGCCAGCAGCCGCAGUAA
rnacentral:rRNA from 1 species